UUAGGGGGUAAACUAAGAAGGUUAUAGGGCUCAUGAUCCUAAAGUGAUUAAAAAUCCCCCCUAAU
rnacentral:tRNA from 1 species